CAGCCGCCGCGGUAAUACGUAGGUGGCAAGCGUUGUCCGGAAUUAUUGGGCGUAAAGCGCGCGCAGGCGGAUCAGUUAGUCUGUCUUAAAAGUUCGGGGCUUAACCCCGUGAGGGGAUGGAAACUGCUGAUCUAGAGUAUCGGAGAGGAAAGUGGAAUUCCUAGUGUAGCGGUGAAAUGCGUAGAUAUUAGGAAGAACACCAGUGGCGAAGGCGACUUUCUGGACGAAAACUGACGCUGAAGCGCGAAAGCCAGGGGAGCGAACGGGAUUAGAUACCCGCGUAGUCCCUGUCUCUUAUACA
rnacentral:rRNA from 1 species